rnacentral:rRNA from 1 species
GACGAACGCUGGCGGCGUGCUUAACAUAUGCAAGUCGAACGGAAAGGCCCUGCUUUUGUGGGGUGCUCGAGUGGCGAACGGGUGAGUAACACGUGAGUAACCUGCCCUUGACUUUGGGAUAACUUCAGGAAACUGGGGCUAAUACCGGAUAGGAGCUCCUGCUGCAUGGUGGGGGUUGGAAAGUUUCGGCGGUUGGGGAUGGACUCGCGGCUUAUCAGCUUGUUGGUGGGGUAGUGGCUUACCAAGGCUUUGACGGGUAGCCGGCCUGAGAGGGUGACCGGCCACAUUGGGACUGAGAUACGGCCCAGACUCCUACGGGAGGCAGCAGUGGGGAAUAUUGCACAAUGGGCGGAAGCCUGAUGCAGCAACGCCGCGUGCGGGAUGACGGCCUUCGGGUUGUAAACCGCUUUCGCCUGUGACGAAGCGUGAGUGAUGGUAAUGGGUAAAGAAGCACCGGCUAACUACGUG